UACGUAGGGUGCAAGCGUUGUCCGGAAUUAUUGGGCGUAAAGAGCUCGUAGGCGGUUUGUCGCGUCUGCUGUGAAAACCCGAGGCUCAACCUCGGGCCUGCAGUGGGUACGGGCAGACUAGAGUGCGGUAGGGGAGAUUGGAAUUCCUGGUGGUAAGCGGUGGAAUGCGCAGAUAGUCAGGAGGAACACCAAUGGCGAAGGCAGAUCUCUGGGCCGUAACUGACGCUGAGGAGCGAAAGCAUGGGGAGCGAACAGG
rnacentral:rRNA from 1 species